UCCAAGGAUUGUUCCUGCACAGAAAGCCUGUGAAAACAGCAGUGGCGAGUCAUUCCCUAAGCCACGGUUUCCGUACUGAGUGAUCUUACCACAUCAGAGCUGAGGAAAGGUCAAGCCGAAGUCGCUUUCUCGCUGAUCAAACCCCCAAGUAACAAGGCACGGGAUGGAACUGAUAUUACACUCCCAGGCCUGUUUCAUCUAGACAUAUAGGAGUGAAGGAACCUGCCAGGACAACAAUUCCCAUUCAAUACAAUUCCAACCACCACAGUUUAUAACUGCUGUCCUGCAUCUACUCAAUUCCAGGUUGCAACACAGGAAGAAAACCUGAACCUGAACAAAACCCCAGUCCCAUGCUAGAAACAUGUAGAAAACCUCGUUUUCUCAAAUGGCCACAGAACAGAAAGACUUUGCUGACGUUCCUCCAGCCCAGAAGAAAGAAGGUGCCACAAUUAAUGAAAGUCACAAGACAGAAAACCACCGUGUCGUUGGAAUGGAAGUAAAGGAUUUCUCUGCAGUUCCAUCCUCAGCAGCAAAAAAAAAAAAACUGUUGUGACAAGACGAAGUGCAAAUAAUUAACAACAGAAGAUCAAAUGAAAGGAGUGGCUUGGCAAGAAGUGACUAACGUUUACUCCAUUUCAGAAGAAUCCAAAUGGUGCUGCAGAAAGAGGAUGCCUUGCAUCGCCCCCAGAGCGCAACAGCAACCCCGGCGCGCAGCAGGCAGCGGCUUACCGCUGUGGCACAACAGGGCAACUUUCCCUUUCAAAGAAAGAGCCUCUUUCUUCUCAGUUCAACAGCUGCUGCACACAGGGUCUCCAACAUCUUAGCGGUUUGAUUGUUGUAGACAGAAAAAGCAAUACCAAAGCAUAAAACAUGGAACAACUUCAUGAAUGUUUUGCCAGCAGCUGAUACAACGGAAAGCGCAUCUCAAAACAGCGGGGCAGCGGAGUAAAACAAAAACCAUAGAGCCAGCACUGUCACGUCAUUUGGCACAUCCUUGCACUUCCCUUAAUUCCGUUUCAGAUCUUGGAAGGGAAGGCCAAAGCUUCUUAUUUGCCAAUUAAGGUUUCACACGAUUCAAACACUGAACAAACAAAAGACAUCCCCAAACACAGAAACCUGCCAGCCUUCGUGACCUUGCCAACAGAGUGAUGUCUCAGUUCAGUGCUUUCACAACACAGACAGUGAGAGAGCUCUGGACAGCCACAUAUACAAACGUGUGUGCACACAAACACACACACAUGUUUUUCUGCUGGUAUGGACACACUGUCACCGAUCCUCAGCCAAAAGUUACACUGAGUUAAGGACACUCCAAACACCCUAUAGACAGGGGAAAAAAAAAAAAAAAAGACAUUAAAAUAACAGGCCUCUAUUUUACGGUGUCAUAUGGUAUUGGUAGUAAUUAAGGAUUUUUAACUUCUUCACCAAGUAGCAUUAUCUAAGAUAGUAUGGUGCCUGUAAUCUGUCCGGAGUCAAUGAAGAACUGCUCAUCAAGCCAACAAGGCAACAAAAAAAAAGUCUGAGGGCUUGCCAUCUGCUCAAACCACGACCUCACACCUCAUUCCCCUAAAUACAGCACCAAGCCACAACAGGAUGCAGAUGACCAGAUUGUUUAGCUGUCACUUCAGCUGAACACGCAGUGGCUGUUGAUGUGUUACGAGGGCCUCUCAAAACCAAACACGACAUAUCGCUGCUGGACAAAUAACUGCUUCAAUGUCAUGCCUAGCCAUUUUUGUGGAUUGAUUAUACCCAUGCAGCAAGGCUGCAAGUUGCAAAGUAUGGAGAAAGCUGAUAAUGCUCUUUUGGUUCCUGAGGACUUCAAGCAGCUUAAAAAAAGAAAUCACUAUAUGAUAUUAGCAAACACCAUUAAUAAGCGCACUAACAUCUGGCUGAAAAGCUAAAGACAAGCAUCUACAAAACUGUUGAAGCAUAAAAGAAUGUAAGAACAU